AGAACUUAUGCCGGCUGCAGCGACUCCAGGCUGGACAUAGUGCCUGACCCGUGCUGCUGCCUUAGUCCGCGUUACCAGCCUGUCUGACCUGGACUACUGCCCCACAUCUCAAGCUGUCUCCCAGCCUCCUGCCUUGCUCCUGAAAUCCAUCCUAUGGAUGCAUUUAAGACUACAUCUUUGAGGGCAAGGAUCCUCUCCACGGCUAUAUCUCCGCACUGCCUAGGCCGCCGCCUGGCACAC